UGGUAACAAAUUUAACAGUUUACUUAAAUAACAAAAUACAUGGAAAAUUUACAUGUAAUCUGAUUACUUAAAGUCAGUAUUUUGAGCACGAUUAUGUUUUUUAAAUGUAAGCUGAAAUGCAACAAGUGCAAAUAUUGUAGGCAAAUUACAAUUUGUCACAUUUUUUUAUCCUGUUUCCAUGGUAAUUUGUUACUUUGAUAGUAAAGUGAACAAAAGCAGUGUUUAAGUCCAUACCAAAGCCAACAUGUAAGCAUUGAGAUCAUCAUCAUACUGUACAGCACACAGGGUGUAAAUACAGAGAGCGAGUGCAAACGGCACAAAUAGACAAAAACAUGGGAACGAGUCAUAAUGCACGUACGCAUCUCAUUGGCUACUCCUGGGUUCCAAUAGCAGAGUCAGUAGGAGUUGGUCUUUGUGAACAAUUAUUGUUUUAUCAUGUUAUACAUCCAACAUUUAAACUUUCAGAGUCACAUUUAGGUAGCUUAGAGCUUUGGUGUGGUAGAGGUUUGUGUGCGUAUCUGUGUGUGCUGAUAGAAGACUGUGUGUCUGUGUGUGUAUCUUUUAAUCUCCAUCUAUCCUAUCAUCUUGAACAGUAGAUUGUAAACUUACCUUAUCUUUAGAUGACUAAAUGUCUUGUAGUAGGACCCAGAGGAACUGCUUGUGUGACCGCUACCUGGCCGUUUCUUAUUGCCUUAAUGUCGUCUUGUAAACUCUGCGGUAUUUUUCACUGAUAUCAUUUACCAAAGAAACAGCAGGUAACGCUUUAUGACAUCCUUUAGAUAUUAGCUGGUUGCUUGUAUUUACUUUGAUUGAAGCACUUUAAAAUGAUAUAUAGUUCCUUUUAAUAUAAUUCACUCAAAGUGCCCCAAAUGGUUUGAUGCCUUAAAUAAAUAUCAAAUCAUUUAUAAUGUAUUAAAUUAUGAAACAAACAGCCGGCACAACCAAUUCAAAGAAAAAAAAGGAAUCGAGAUAGAAACACUUUUUUUUACAUGGCCGUGAGAGGACCUUUAACUGACCAGUAGCACAGCAAAGUGCCCUCUCAUAUUCUGUGUACAGUAGAAAAUGGCAGAAUAAGUAUAUAUGGGGUUCUUUAAGUGCAAAAAAAAAAAAAAAAAUUUGCAUGUACAAAAAAUGUGAAAAAAAUCUAUUUUAAUAAUGUGACAGAGAAGCGAGCGUCUUGAUAUCCUUUCAUACUCAUUUUCCACCUCAUCUCAACAGAAUAAGAUGCUUUUUAGCUCUGCAGAUCAGGUUGAUUGUAGCAUCUAACAGUUUAGUGCUCCCGCCCUUAAAAGCCUUAUAACAGAAGUCUAAUGGGAUUCUCCAGCUUAAAAAAAGGGCCUUUACAGUGCGCUCUUUGAAUUCUGUCUCACACGUUCCUGUUUCAACUCGUACCCUCUGUGUCUCUCCUUCUAGCUCUCUCUCUCUCUCUCCCUCACACCCUCCCUCUCUUGAAGCGAUGUUGAAGCUGUUCCUACCUCUGUGACAGUUGUCUCCAUCUGCCUCAUCAUCAUCAUUUCAUCCGUCCCAUUCUGCGUCUUCUCUGCCGUUCCUCCGUUCAUACAUUGACUCAUC
ensembl:lncRNA